rnacentral:SRP_RNA from 1 species
GCCAGGCGCAGUGGCGGGCACCUGUAAUCCCAGCUACUCCGGAGGCUGAGGCAGGAGAAUCGCUUGAAUCCGGGAGGUGGAGGUUGCAGUGAGCCAAGAUUGGGCCACUGCACUCAAGCCUGGGUGACAGAGCAAGACCCUGCCUCAA